rnacentral:rRNA from 1 species
AGAGUUUGAUCAUGGCUCAGAACGAACGCUGGCGGCGCGCCUAAUACAUGCAAGUCGAGCGAGAAGACGUAGCAAUACGUUUGUAAAGCGGCGAACGGGUGAGGAAUACAUGGGUAACCUACCCUCGAGUGGGGAAUAACUAGCCGAAAGGUUAGCUAAUACCGCAUACGACUCCUGGUCUGCGGAUCGGGAGGGAAAGCGAUACCGUGGGUAUCGCGCUCUUGGAUGGGCUCAUGUCCUAUCAGCUUGUUGGUGAGGUAACGGCUCACCAAGGCUUCGACGGGUAGCUGGUCUGAGAGGACGAUCAGCCACACUGGCACUGCGACACGGGCCAGACUCCUACGGGAGGCAGCAGUAAGGAAUAUUGCGCAAUGGGCGACAGCCUGACGCAGCGACGCCGCGUGGGGGAUGAAGGUCUUCGGAUUGUAAACCCCUUUCGGCAGGGAAGAUGGAAUGGGUAACCAUUCGGACGGUACCUGCAGAAGCAGCCACGGCUAACUUCGUGCCAGCAGCCGCGGUAAUACGAAGGUGGCAAGCGUUGUUCGGAUUUACUGGGCGUACAGGGAGCGUAGGCGGUUGGGUAAGCCCUCCGUGAAAUCUCCGGGCCUAACCCGGAAAGUGCGGAGGGGACUGCUCGGCUAGAGGAUGGGAGAGGAGCGCGGAAUUCCCGGUGUAGCGGUGAAAUGCGUAGAGAUCGGGAGGAAGGCCGGUGGCGAAGGCGGCGCUCUGGAACAUUUCUGACGCUGAGGCUCGAAAGCGUGGGGAGCAAACAGGAUUAGAUACCCUGGUAGUCCACGCCU